AUGGUGAGUCCUCGAGGUGUCAGUGCUCUGUGGUGUUGGAAUCUUGUUGCUUGCCGGCCUGUGCACGUGUGCGUGGACGCGGCCUCAACCGACUAUACCCAACAAGCAACCCAAAGCUAUGGGGCCUACCCCACCCAGCCUGGGCAGGGCUAUUCCCAGCAGAGCAAUCAGCCCUAUGGACAGCAGAGUUACAGUGGUUACGGACAGUCAGCAGACACUUCAGGCUAUGGCCAGAGCAGCUAUGGUUCUUCCUAUGGACAGACCCAGAACAGCCAUGGCACUCGGUCAGCUCCCCAGGGAUAUGGCUCAACCGGUGGCUAUGGUGGUAGCCAGAGUUCUCAGUCAUCUUAUGGGCAACAGUCCUCUUACCCUGGCUAUGGCCAGCAGCCAGCUCCGAGCAGCACCUCGGGAAGUUAUGGUAGUGGUUCUCAGAGCAGCGGCUAUGGGCAGCCCCAGAGUGGGGCUAUGGCCAGCAGUCUGGCUAUCGUGGACAGCAGCAAGGCUAUGGACAGCAGCAAAGCUCCCAUAACCCCCCUCAAGGCUAUGGCCAGCAGGACCGUGGGGGCCGCGGCCGGGGCGGUGGCGGUGGUUACAACCGCAGCAGCGGUGGCUAUGAGCCCAGAGGUCAUGGAGGUGGCUGUGGAGGCAGAGGCGGCAUGGGCGGAAGUGACCAUGGUGGCUUCAGUAAAUUUGGUGGCCCUCGGGACCAGGGAUCACCUCAUGACUCUGAACAGGAUAAUUCAGACAACACCACCAUCUUCAUGCAAGGCUUGGGUGAAAAUGUUACAAUUGAGUCUGUGGCUGAUUACUUCAAGCAGAUUGGUAUUAUUAAGACAAAUAAGAAAACAGGACAGCCCAUGAUUAAUCUGUACACAGACAGGGAAACGGGCAAGCUGAAGGGAGAGGCAACAGUGUCGUUUGAUGACCCACCUUCUGCUAAAGCAGCUAUUGACUGGUUUGAUGGUAAAGAAUUCUCUGGGAAUCCCAUCAAGGUCUCAUUUCUACUCGGCGAGCAGACUUCAAUCGGGGCGGUGGCAAUGGUCAUGGAGGCUGAGGGCGAGGAGGACCCAUUGGCCGUGGAUGCUAUGGAGGUGGUGGCAGUGGUGGUGGUGGCUGGGGAGGAUUCCCUAGUGGAGGGGGUGGUGGUGGCAGCCAGCAGCGAGCUGGUGACUGGAAGUGUCCUAAUCCUAUAUGUGAGAACAUGAACUUCUCUUGGAGGAAUGAAUGCAACCAAUGUAAGGCCCCUAAACCAGAUGGCCCAGGAAGGGGGACUAGGAGGCUCUCAUAUGGGGGUAACUAUGGAGAUGAUCGUUGUGGUGGCAGAGGAGGCUAUGAUCGGGGCGGCUACCGAGGCCGAGGCGGGGACCGUGGGGGCUUCCGAGGGGGCCAGGGUGGUGGGGACAGAGGUGGCUUUGGCCCUGGCAAGAUGGACUCCAGGGGUGAGCGCAGACAGGAUCGCAGGGAGAGGCCAUAUUAGCUUGGCUCCUGAGGUUCUGCAACAGCUUUUCUUCUUGUACCCAGUGUUACCCUCAUU